UACGUAGGGUGCGAGCGUUGUCCGGAAUUAUUGGGCGUAAAGAGCUCGUAGGCGGCCUGUCGCGUCGGAUGUGAAAGCCCGGGGCUUAACCCCGGGUCUGCAUUCGAUACGGGCAGGCUAGAGUGUGGUAGGGGAGAUCGGAAUUCCUGGUGUAGCGGUGGAAUGCGCAGAUAUCAGGAGGAACACCGGUGGCGAAGGCGGGUCUCUGGGCAGUAACUGACGCUGAGGAGCGAAAGCGUGGGGAGCGAACAGG
rnacentral:rRNA from 1 species